CAAGUUUCAAGUGGAAUUGUGAAACAAAUCAGAUUAACAUCAAAAGCGAUGUGUAGGCGCUGUCAACAAUUUAAGCAAAAGGUCAAGAAGGCCGUAACAAUACAACACUUUUAUUGUGAAUAUAUUUGCACAAUUAUCAACACCAUGUUAUAAACAUUUUUAACACUCUGUUAUUUCUCUAUUUUAUACAGUAAAUAGUGUACAAAUGUAUACAAAAAAUGAAUUCAGGCUAUAGUCAAGUUCCACAAAAGAGUAAAUAAAGCACAAUCAGAUAUCAUCGAAUGGGAGGAGGCCUUCACAGCGAUAGAUGAAACUCCAGCUGCCCCCCCCUCCCCCGUUCUGGAUUAAAUACACAUCGACACUUUGAUAAACAGGCAGUAGCACCGGCAGCUCAGCACGAAGGCAAGAUGGAGAGAAAUUGAACCUUUGAAGGCAUGCACAUGGUGACCAUGAUACUGAUUAAAACAGAGAGGUAAGGCAAUUCUGGAUGACACUGAUACUGUGUCCUCUCACAUUCUCUCCAGCAGGCCCUGAUGCUGACUGUGUGGGUGCUAGAAACACAACAAACAAAAAGAUCAUCCCGGGAACUUUGCAGCGUUUUGGACCACUUGUAAUAGAGUGACAACGGAGAGGAAACAAGCAGGAAGCCGAGGAGGAGGGGAAGCAAAACAAA